GACGAACCGUGCGAACGUUGUUCGGAAUCACUGGGCUUAAAGGGCGCGUAGGCGGGCAGACAAGUCCGGGGUGAAAGCUUUCGGCUCAACCGGAAAAGGGCCUUGGAUACUGUCUGUCUGGAGGGAGGUAGGGGCCCGUGGAACUUCCGGUGGAGCGGUGAAAUGCGUUGAUAUCGGAAGGAACGCCGGUGGCGAAAGCGACGGGCUGGAUCUCUACUGACGCUGAGGCGCGAAAGCCAGGGGAGCAAACGGG
rnacentral:rRNA from 1 species